UACAGAGGUCCCAAGCGUUGUUCGGAUUCACUGGGCGUAAAGGGUGCGUAGGUGGUGGGGUAAGUCGGAUGUGAAAGCUCGGAGCUCAACUCCGAAAUGGCAUUGGAAACUACCCUGCUAGAGGAUUGGAGGGGGGACUGGAAUACUUGGUGUAGCAGUGAAAUGCGUAGAGAUCAUGAGGAAGACCAGUGGCGAAGGCGGGUCUCUGGACAGUUCCUGACACUGAGGCACGAAGGCCAGGGGAGCAAACGGG
rnacentral:rRNA from 1 species